UUUUGAUUUUACAAACUCGUAUGGAUCACCUAAAAAGUUUGUAAAUGGGAAUGGCAUUAAUUAGGGACUUUUUGGGAUCAACUAAAUAGUCCAUAAAUUGGAGGUUCAUAAAAAUGCAAGUCUACAUAGUAAAGCUCAAGCUUAGGUCAUCUGUUUAUUUUCAAGAAAAUUCAAGAUUUUUGGAUUGAGCUGACUUGAGUCAGCAAUUCUAUAUAUACUAUCUUCUAAAACUAUGGAAUAUGUUGAAUGAUCAAAUUAUAUAAAACAUAAUAAUAUAACAGUAUGUAGAGAAUACAAAUAAUUGAUGAAUGAAGAAAAAUAAUAAGGCAUAUAAAGUGAUAAUGGAAAAUCAUUCUUGUUGAUAACUUUUUUAAUGUCUAAGGAUGAGGCAUAAAAUAAAAUCAGGAAUUAAAUAUUUUUUAAAUAUUAUAUACUUAUUUUAGAUGUUUAUAAAAUGAACGUAUUUUUGAAAAAUAAGUGUAUUUUUAUACCUGUUAAAAUAAUAAAAAUUAUAUCAACUUCAAAUUCUAUAAUUGUAAUUCCAAUUUUAUAUGCACAAAUAAUCUUUAGUGUUACUACUAUCAUCAGUUACAACUUCAGUAGAACUUCAUUAUUGGAACUAGUUAGGAUUAAAAUUGCUUGUUCAGUUAAUCAAAAACAUAAGAGAGAGUUACAAAAAAAAAAA
rnacentral:lncRNA from 1 species